CAUUUGUACAAGACUAGUAGAAGAUAUCUAGAAUUGGACAUUAAUGUUACAUGUUUUCAUUAAUUUGUUUCAGAUGCCAGGCAACACUUCUACAGGUCCACGUAACUCUAAUUCAGUUAACCAGAGAGCAUCUUCUGAAAGUCAUCAUAAUGAUGGGAAUUGCUAGCAUUGAUUCUAGAGUAUGAGAUAACACAAUUUAUUCAACCUAUCAUGUCUUUGUUUUUUUGUUUUAUUUUAUUUUUAUAUGUAUGUUUGAACUUUUUCUCAUUACUUUAUGUUUAGCAUUUACUUAAACAUAUUUGAUAUUCCCCUAGAUAUUUGAUUCAAAAAGUUAAAAAAAUAUUGAUGAAAAACAAUAAAAUUUUGAUUAUUUGUAA